AGAUGCAGUGUAUGGUAUGUUCAAUUUCUAGUAUGAGAAAUUAACGAUUUAAGUCCUUCUUAAAUGAGGCCAUUUACCCAUAGAGGGUGCCAGGCCCGUAUAACGUUAAUGAUUACUAGAGAACAUUUCCAAAGAGUCGUGUUGCUUGAUAGUGCAGCACUAAGUGGGUGGUAAACUCCAUCUAAAACUAAAUAUAACCAUGAGACCGAUAGUAAACAAGUACCGUGAGGGAAAGUUGAAAAGAACUCUGAAUAGAGAGUUAAAUAGUACGUGAAACUGCUUAGAGGUUAAGCCCGAUGAACCUGAAUAUCCAUUAUGGAAAAUUCAUCAUUAUGAUUGUGAUAUGAAUAAUAUCUAUAAUAAUGGUGUGCAUUUUUUCCAUAUAAGGACAUUGUAAUCUAUUAACAUGCCAUAAUUUAUCACAAGAUCGAUGACUUAAGUUUAUUCAAAUUAUUUUGCUUGCAAUUUAACAUAGAAUAAAUGUUGUUGAUUUGAUAAAGUGUUGAUAGAUUUAUUAUAUACAGUGCUUGAAUAUUUAUAUUCUAUAAUAGCAAAGUAAUCAUGAUUAUUGUGUUUAUUAUAUGCACUUGUAUGAUUAACAAUGCGAAAGAUUCAGGAUACCUUCGGGACCCGUCUUGAAACACGGACCAAGGAGUCUAACAUAUUUGCAAGUUAUUGGGAAUUAAAAACCUAAUAGCGAAAUUAACAUAACUUAUAUAAUGGGAUUAGUUUUUGUCUAUUUUUA
rnacentral:rRNA from 1 species